rnacentral:rRNA from 1 species
GUAGGGAAUAUUGGGCAAUGGAGGCAACUCUGACCCAGCCAUGCCGCGUGCAGGAAGACGGUCCUCUGGAUUGUAAACUGCUUUUGAAUGGGAAGAACACUACCCUUGCGAGGGUAUUUGACGGUACUAUUAGAAUAAGCACCGGCUAACUCCGUGCCAGCAGCCGCGGUAAUACGGAGGGUGCAAGCGUUAUCCGGAUUUAUUGGGUUUAAAGGGUGCGUAGGCGGCUUGAUAAGUCUGGGGUUAAAGGCGGCAGCUUAACUGUACGCAUGCCCUAGAUACUGUUGAGCUUGAGUGACCUGGAGGUAGCUGGAAUUCCCUGUGUAGCGGUGAAAUGCAUAGAUACGGGGAGGAAUACCGAUUGCGAAGGCAUGUUACUACGGGUAAACUGACGCUGAUGCACGAAAGCGUGGGGAUCAAACAGGAUUAGAUACCCCGGUAGUCC